rnacentral:rRNA from 1 species
CUAAAGGGUUGUUGAAGACUACAACGUUGAUAGGCGGGGUGUGGAAGCGUAGUAAUGCGUUGAGCUAACCCGUACUAAUUGCCCGUGAGGCUUAACCAUACAACACCCAAGGUGUUUGG